UUGAUUUAUUUAAUCGUGUUACUCAGAAGAUACUGUAAUAAACAAAGAGUUUGGGGGUCCUCUGGCGGGCCGCCGGAGCGGGCACCGCCGAGGCAACGAUAGGUAUGUUCACAGGGGUUUGGGAGUUGUAAACUCGGUAAUGAUCCCUCCGCUGGUUCACCAACGGAGA
rnacentral:misc_RNA from 1 species